GAGUUGUAUGAAAGGAGAGAAGGUUAGCACUCUGUUCUAGUGGUCUUUACAACACAUAUGUACUGAAGACAUUGCUCCCUAUUCUGUGGCAUUCAAAUGUGAAAU
ensembl:snRNA